rnacentral:RNase_P_RNA from 1 species
GAAGUCGGCCGGACAGUCGCCGCUCGCCUUCGGGCGGGGGGAGGAAAGUCCGGGCUUCAUAGGGCAGGAUGCUGGCUAACGGCCAGGCGCCGUGAGGCGACGGAAAGUGGAACAGAGAGCUGAACCGCCGAUGGCCGGACCGAUAGCCGCAAGGGUAUCGAUUCGGAUCAGGCAAGGGUGAAAAGGUGGCCGCGAGAGCGGUGGCCGGUCGCAAGGCCGGUCCGGUAAGAGCGCACCGCUCGACUGGCGACAGUUCGAGGCAGGCUAAACCCCAUCCGAAGCAAGACCAAAUAGGCAAGCGUUGACGGGGCCCCCUGAGCUUGCGGGUAGGUUGCUUGAGGCGUGCAGUAAUGUACGUCCUAGAGGAAUGACUGUCGGCGGCGGGUAACCGCCGUGUCACAGGACCCGGCUUACAGGCCGACUUCGCAC